GACGAACGCUGGCGGCGUGCUUAACACAUGCAAGUCGAACGGAAAGGCCCUGCUUUUGUGGGGUGCUCGAGUGGCGAACGGGUGAGUAACACGUGAGUAACCUGCCCUUGACUUUGGGAUAACUUCAGGAAACUGGGGCUAAUACCGGAUAGGAGCUCCUGCUGCAUGGUGGGGGUUGGAAAGUUUCGGCGGUUGGGGAUGGACUCGCGGCUUAUCAGCUUGUUGGUGGGGUAGUGGCUUACCAAGGCUUUGACGGGUAGCCGGCCUGAGAGGGUGACCGGCCACGUUGGGACUGAGAUACGGCCCAGACUCCUACGGGAGGCAGCAGUGGGGAAUAUUGCACAAUGGGCGGAAGCCUGAUGCAGCAACGCCGCGUGCGGGGUGACGGCCUUCGGGUUGUAAACCGCUUUCGCCUGUGACGAAGCGUGAGUGACGGUAAUGGGUAAAGAAGCACCGGCUAACUACGUG
rnacentral:rRNA from 1 species